rnacentral:rRNA from 1 species
AUUGAACGCUGGCGGAAUGCUUUACACAUGCCAGUCGAACGGUAGAGGGGGCAACCCCUCGAGAGUGGCGAACGGGUGAGUAAUAUAUCGGAACGUGCCCAGUCGUGGGGGAUAACGUAGCGAAAGUUACGCUAAUACCGCAUACGAUCUAAGGAUGAAAGCGGGGGAUCGCAAGAUCUCGCGCGAUUGGAGCGGUCGAUAUCAGAUUAGGUAGUUGGGGGGGUAAAGGCUCACCAAGCCAACGAUCUGUAGCUGGUCUGAGAGGACGACCAGCCACACUGGAACUGAGACACGGUCCAGACUCCUACGGGAGGCAGCAGUGGGGAAUUUUGGACAAUGGACGCAAGUCUGAUCCAGCCAUUCCGCGUGCAGGAUGAAGGCCCUCGGGUUGUAAACUGCUUUUGUACGGAGCGAAAAGGUCUCUCUUAAUACGGGGGACUCAUGACGGUACCGUAAGAAUAAGCACCGGCUAACUACGUGCCAGCCGCCGCCGUAA